rnacentral:rRNA from 1 species
UAGGGAAUCUUCCGCAAUGGACGCAAGUCUGACGGAGCAACGCCGCGUGAGUGAAGAAGGAUUUCGGUUCGUAAAACUCUGUUGUUAGAGAAGAACAGCGCAUAGAGUAACUGUUAUGCGUGUGACGGUAUCUAACCAGAAAGCCACGGCUAACUACGUGCCAGCAGCCGCGGUAAUACGUAGGUGGCAAGCGUUGUCCGGAUUUAUUGGGCGUAAACCGAGCGCAGGCGGUCAAUUAAGUCUGAUGUGAAAGCCCCCGGCUCAACCGGGGAGGGUCAUUGGAAACUGGUUGACUUGAGUGCAGAAGAGGAGAGUGGAAUUCCAUGUGUAGCGGUGAAAUGCGUAGAUAUAUGGAGGAACACCAGUGGCGAAGGCGACUCUCUGGUCUGUAACUGACGCUGAGGUUCGAAAGCGUGGGUAGCAAACAGG